UACGUAGGGUGCGAGCGUUGUCCGGAAUUAUUGGGCGUAAAGAGCUCGUAGGCGGUGUGUCGCGUCGGCCGUGAAAACCUGCAGCUUAACUGUGGGCUUGCGGUCGAUACGGGCAUCACUGGAGUUCGGCAGGGGAGACUGGAAUUCCUGGUGUAGCGGUGAAAUGCGCAGAUAUCAGGAGGAACACCGGUGGCGAAGGCGGGUCUCUGGGCCGUAACUGACGCUGAGGAGCGAAAGCGUGGGGAGCGAACAGGA
rnacentral:rRNA from 1 species